rnacentral:misc_RNA from 1 species
AAAAUUAAAGUUCGGGAUCGGUUCUUCAUUCCUGGUUACGACCAGCAAAGAGCCGAUCCGCUACCGGACGCCACAUUAUGUGAACUGAACCGUCUCUGGCGGGUGGGUAGCAGCAAACACUGCUACCUGUCAGUAAAUGCGUUUGCAUUUGCCGUGGACACCCCGCCAACCAGGUCUUACACCUUUAUUGUUUUUUGAUGUCUGACAUAACCUGUAUAAAUAUACAAAA